GGUAGAAAAUUAGAAAAUCUUAGUUUGCCUGUCAAUGCAUAGUGUUUUGCUGCCAUGGGCGGCAGCAAAAGUCUUAAUGCCCCAUGGACGUCAUCGUGCCAUAACUGGCGCGAGUUUAAGACGUGCACGUCACUCCGAGAAAAUUUAAAUCAGGCAGACUUAGAUUUUCUUAUUUUCGGAC
rnacentral:ncRNA from 1 species